rnacentral:pre_miRNA from 1 species
UUUGUACUCCCUCCGUCCAAUGUCUCAAGUCUGUGAAAAUUUGGAUGUAUUUAGACAUGACUUGGUGUAUAGAUGCAUUUAAAUUUAGUCAAAGUUGAGACAUACUUUGUUGGACGGAGGAAUACAUU